AUACAGGAAAUUCCUGACCUAUCUACAGAAUCUUUACAGUCGACGUGAGAGUUGGGCUCUCAGCUAUAGGAGGGACUUGCCAACCCGUGGAAACCAAACCAAUAACUAUGUGGAGGCUGCAAUGCGUGUCUUGAAAGACAAAAUACUUCAUAGGACAAAAGCAUUCAACCUGCCUCAAUUAUUCAAUCUUUUCAUUACCCGACUAGAGAUGUACUAUGAAGCACGUGUGACAGACGUUGCUCUUGGCCAUUGGGAGGCAUUCCACCGGUCAAGAUUUCUUGCUACACAAAGUAAUAUCAAAGCAUCGGAUAUUUCUCAGGUAAAAUGUAAUUUUUAAUUAUGGAUCAUUAAAAAAACGUGUGUUUUUAAGCCUUUUAAGUCUUGUUUUCAUUCUGUCAUCAUCAACUGGCAAAGUUAAACUUCAAUACGAAAUAUGCGAGAAUGCAGGUCCGUUCUGUGCAUUUUUAUAAUUGAGAAACAUCCAAUAUGUCUGUAUUUUUGUCUUUAUGUCACUGUUAGGUUGGAGAAAAGAAAUUUCAGGUGAGAUCAUCCACAUUAGGGCACACAUAUACCGUGGACAUGGAGCUGGAGCUCUGCACUUGUCCAGUUGGCCAUAGUGGGGCACCAUGCAAACACCAGGCAGCAGUAGUGCAAAAUUACAACAUCACCUCCAUCAACUUUCUCCCCACAACAGCUGAAAUGAGGGCUGAGCUGCUGAAAAUAACAAAAGCCUCAGUUUCUCUUGACUUUCUAAACCCUUUACGGCAAAAUAUGCCAACGCCAAGCACAUUAGCUCCAGACGUGCCUCGGAAACAAGAAACCUGCACUUCUGAUCAUCAGUAUCAUCUCAGUGCUGAAGAUGAUGAGUCACAUCAGCUGGACCUGUCUUCGACCAGCUCUACACAACUGCAACAAAUAUCACCUAUGCAAGAGGACCCAUACUCCAACCAUCCCUGUGUUCAGGGUAACUCAGAGGGAGCAUCUUUACCUCAGUCUCCUGUGAAACGGAUGCUGAGACUGCUCAGUGAAAUGGCUGAAAACCCAGACUACAGUAAUGCCAUGUCUAAAAUGGCCAAGCAGCUUGAAAAGAUGCAGCACAACCAGACCCAACUGAUCUCGGCAUUUUACUGCUUUGGUAAAGGGAUGUCAGUAUCAAAACGUGCAGCAGCGUUAAGACGAGCUGCUAGACGACCAGGUCCUAUUAUUGGCUGUCAGCCAACAGCAGUGGCCAGAAGAACAGCUAAGACUGGUUCUAGGCAGCGUUUGACAGCUGGACGCCCCAGAAAAUGCAGUUCUGGUUCAGAGCAUGACUACAGCAGAUAUAAAGGGAAAAAGGCUGUCAGGGUUCGCCACAAAUUGUCAGAAUCUGUGGCAAUGAAUUACUCACAUCAAGCAUAA
rnacentral:lncRNA from 1 species